UACGAAGGGUGCAAGUGUUAAUCGGAAUUACUGGGCGUAAAGCGUGCGUAGGCGGUUGUUUAAGUCUGCUGUGAAAUCCCCGGGCUCAACCUGGGAAUGGCAGUGGAUACUGGACAGCUAGAGUGUGUCAGAGGAUGGUGGAAUUCCCGGUGUAGCGGUGAAAUGCGUAGAGAUCGGGAGGAACAUCAGUGGCGAAGGCGGCCAUCUGGGACAACACUGACGCUGAGGCACGAAAGCGUGGGGAGCAAACAGG
rnacentral:rRNA from 1 species